rnacentral:rRNA from 1 species
UACAGAGGAUGCAAGCGUUGCUCGGAAUCACUGGGCGUAAAGGGCGCGUAGGCGGCCAUUCAAGUCGGGGGUGAAAGCCUGUGGCUCAACCACAGAAUUGCCUUCGAUACUGUUUGGCUUGAGUAUGGUAGAGGUCGGUGGAACUGCGAGUGUAGAGGUGAAAUUCGUAGAUAUUCGCAAGAACACCAGUGGCGAAGGCGGCCGACUGGACCAUUACUGACGCUGAGGCGCGAAAGCGUGGGGAGCAAACAGG